rnacentral:rRNA from 1 species
AGAGUUUGAUCCUGGCUCAGAUUGAACGCUGGCGGCAUGCCUUAGCACAGUGCAACGUCGAACGGCAGCGCGGGGGUAACCCUGGCGGCGAGUGGCGAACGGGUGAGUAAUACAUCAGAACGUGUCCUGUAGUGGGGGAUAGCCCGGCGAAAGCCGGAUUACAUACCGCAUACGCUCUACGGAGGAAAGGGGGGGAUCUUAGGACCCCCUCGCUACAGGGGCGGCCGAUGGCAGAUUAGCUAGUUGGUGGGGUAAAGGCCUACCAAGGCGACGAUCAGUAGCUGGUCUGAGAGGAUGAUCAGUCCACACUGUGGACUGAGACAGCGGCCCCAGACUCCUACGGGGAGGGCAGCAGUGCGGGACAUCUUGGACAAUGGGGGNAACCCUGAUCCAGCAAUGCCGCGUGUGUGAAGAAGGCCUUCGGGUUGUAAAGCACUU